rnacentral:rRNA from 1 species
GAUGAACGCUGGCGGCGUGCCUAAUACAUGCAAGUCGAGCGAACGGACGAGAAGCUUGCUUCUCUGAUGUUAGCGGCGGACGGGUGAGUAACACGUGGAUAACCUACCUAUAAGACUGGGAUAACUUCGGGAAACCGGAGCUAAUACCGGAUAAUAUUUUGAACCGCAUGGUUCAAAAGUGAAAGACGGUCUUGCUGUCACUUAUAGAUGGAUCCACGCUGCAUUAGCUAGUUGGUAAGGUAACGGCUUACCAAGGCAACGAUGCAUAGCCGACCUGAGAGGGUGAUCGGCCACACUGGAACUGAGACACGGUCCAGACUCCUACGGGAGGCAGCAGUAGGGAAUCUUCCGCAAUGGGCGAAAGCCUGACGGAGCAACGCCGCGUGAGUGAUGAAGGUCUUCGGAUCGUAAAACUCUGUUAUUAGGGAAGAACAUAUGUGUAAGUAACUGUGCACAUCUUGACGGUACCUAAUCAGAAAGCCACGGCUAACUACGUGCCAGCAGCCGCGGUAAUACGUAGGUGGCAAGCGUUAUCCGGAAUUAUUGGGCGUAAAGCGCGCGUAGGCGGUUUUUUAAGUCUGAUGUGAAAGCCCACGGCUCAACCGUGGAGGGUCAUUGGAAACUGGAAAACUUGAGUGCAGAAGAGGAAAGUGGAUUUCCAUGUGUAGCGGUGAAAUGCGCAGAGAUAUGGAGGAACACCAGUGGCGAAGGCGACUUUCUGGUCUGUAACUGACGCUGAUGUGCGAAAGCGUGGGGAUCAAACAGGAUUAGAUACCCUGGUAGUCCACGCCGUAAACGAUGAGUGCUAAGUGUUAGGGGGUUUCCGCCCCUUAGUGCUGCAGCUAACGCAUUAAGCACUCCGCCUGGGGAGUACGACCGCAAGGUUGAAACUCAAAGGAAUUGACGGGGACCCGCACAAGCGGUGGAGCAUGUGGUUUAAUUCGAAGCAACGCGAAGAACCUUACCAAAUCUUGACAUCCUUUGACAACUCUAGAGAUAGAGCCUUCCCCUUCGGGGGACAAAGUGACAGGUGGUGCAUGGUUGUCGUCAGCUCGUGUCGUGAGAUGUUGGGUUAAGUCCCGCAACGAGCGCAACCCUUAAGCUUAGUUGCCAUCAUUAAGUUGGGCACUCUAAGUUGACUGCCGGUGACAAACCGGAGGAAGGUGGGGACGACGUCAAAUCAUCAUGCCCCUUAUGAUUUGGGCUACACACGUGCUACAAUGGACAAUACAAAGGGCAGCGAAACCGCGAGGUCAAGCAAAUCCCAUAAAGUUGUUCUCAGUUCGGAUUGUAGUCUGCAACUCGACUACAUGAAGCUGGAAUCGCUAGUAAUCGUAGAUCAGCAUGCUACGGUGAAUACGUUCCCGGGUCU